UUCGUCUUAUUUGAAUUUUUUUUGCGAUUAAUAUUUUUAUUGUUACUAGAUGAUAAAAUAUAAAUAAUACUUUAUACGUAACUAAUUUUUUUAAGUAUUUGUAUAAAUUUUUUAAAUAAGACGAA
rnacentral:pre_miRNA from 1 species